GUGGCUCAGAUGGUAAAGCGUCUGCCUGCAAUGCAGGAGAUGCGGGUUCAAUUCCUGGGUC
rfam:Ovis aries breed Texel chromosome 6, whole genome shotgun sequence.